rnacentral:rRNA from 1 species
AGCAGCCGCGGUAAUUCCAGCUCCAAUAGCGUAUAUUAAAGUUGUUGCAGUUAAAAGCUCGUAGUUGAAUUUUGGGUCUGGCCGGGCGGUCCGCCCUCUGGGUGAGCACUGUUCCGACGUCGGGCCUAUCCUUCUGGUGAGUCGGCAUGUCCUUUAUUGGGUGUGUCGGGGAACCAGGACCAUUACCUUGAAAAAUUAGAGUGUUCAAAGCAGGCGUAUGCUCGGAUACAUUAGCAUGGAAUAAUGAAAUAGGACGCGUGGUGCUAUUUUGUUGGUUUCUAGAACCGCCGUAAUGAUUAAUAGGGAUAGUUGGGGGCAUUAGUAUUCAAUUGUCAGAGGUGAAAUUCUUGGAUUUAUUGAAGACUAACUUCUGCGAAAGCAUUUGCCAAGGAUGUUUUCAUUAAUCAAGAACGAAAGUUAGGGGAUCGAAGACGAUCAGAUACCGUCGUAGUCUUAACCAUAAACUAUGCCGACUAGGAAUCGGGCGAUGUUAUUCUCAUGACUCGCCCGGCGCCUUAUGGGAAACCAAAGUGUUU